rnacentral:misc_RNA from 1 species
GGGGAAUCUUAGUAGCUCAGUUGGUUGGUUACCUGCAACUUUUACUUUGUUGGUGGAAGUUCGAUUCCCCACCUUGUAAUCUCCUCUCCUGUCUCCCCUUCCCGUACCCUAGUUAUCCAAGAGAGAAUUAAGUACUUGAGAGCAGAGGCAAUUUGUAAUAUCAUGUAGGGUAGCUUUUGUGAAAAUGUUUUCGCUCUUGUUCUUGGUAUUGUGAAGUGGAUGGG